CCUAUCACUCCAAAGUGAAUUAACAAUCUCAACUACAAAAUAUUCACAAAUCAAAUCUCUAGUCAUUCUCAACACUUAAAACCCAAUACUAGUUUACUACUCACCUUGAUAGCUUUGUAACUUUGAACUUCUUUCCAAAAGCUCUCAAGCUAUUAAUAAAGCUUCCUCUUUCUCUCCCUAAAACACCUAACUAGUGAGAGAUUAUGGAAACAAGAUUUUCAUCAUUUUCAAGGGUUUUAAAGUGAGAGAGUGGAAGAAUACAAGGGUUCUAGUCAAAAAGGCACCAGGGUAUGAAAAUUAGAACUAGAGAGAGAAAGUUAUGAAAGCUUCACAUCAAGCUUCCAUGGAGGAAUUGAAAAAACGUGAAAGGGAAGAGAACAAGAAAAAGAAGUUUCUAGAAAUCCCAAGAAGUUGCUAGAAGGAGAGGAUAUUUAUGGCCCAAGCUUAUCCACUCCCUUAGAAAUUACUAAAAUGCCCCUCCACAAAUUAGCUUAAUCCUUGAAAUCUCACACUUUUUCUUCAAUUUUCCCACCUAGGGUUUGUGUUCUUUCUUUUCCUCUUUACUUCAUGCUUUGGCCAACCAUAUGGGUGAGACUAAGAGAGUUUUAAAUAGAUUUUACAAGGAAAUUCUAGAAUAAUCCAAGCUUGAAACAUGGCAUGUUUCCAUUGGUCCAUGUGUAAUACUUAUCCAUUAAGCAAUUUCUCUUCACCACAUAAAAUGUUUCAAUUAUCCACAAUGUAAAAUGUUAAUGGCUGAAAUCCAUGGGCAUGACAAGUGUCAGGUGGUGUAAAAUUUCAAAAAUUCUCAUUUUAUCCUCGGAUGACAAAAUUACCAUUUUACCCCUAGAACAUAAAAAUCAUCAAAAUUUUUAUUUCCUUGUCAUUUCACCCAUAUUUUCAUCAUUCAUUUAUGCUUCAAGCCUACUUAAACCAUAAUAUUGUUUAAAACUUACUUUUUUGGGCUUAUUGAGAAAAUGAUGAAAUUACCCUUAAUUAGGGAUAUUUCAUAUAUUUCUAUCUACGAGUCUAUAAAGGUUAAGGUCUCACAAUAAAAUCACUUCACCAAAGGCUUGUUCCUAAGAUACAUUUUUAAAGGAAAACUGGACAAAACCUUUCAAAUGUUUGUACAAUUGCAUUCACAUUCCCAAAACAAAUUUUGAAAUGCAAGUCCACUCACCGGCAUGUUGUUGGACCUUUAAUUGACUCUAACUUCUCUAAUGGUCCAAUUGGGACGAUGUGGCUUUGUUGGAACCUAUCAUCACAUUAACAUCACAAUUAUGUUAAUUGACAUACUUAUAGAGUCCAAAAGCUUUCUCUUAGCUUACUUCAAAUGGCUAUUAAAUGGCUAUCCAUUUUCACAAUCCUAUCACUCCGAAGUGAAUUAACAAUCUCAACUACAAAAUAUUCACAACUCAAAUCUCUAGUUAUUCUCAACACUAAAAUUUCAACUCAAAUUUACUACUCACCUUAAUAACUUUGAAACUUUGAAAUUCUUUCCAACAAUUCUCCAAACUAUUAUAAAGCUUCCUCUUUCUCCCUCUAAAACACCUAACUAGUGAGAGAGAGUAUGGAAACAAGAUUUUUCAAGGGUUUUAAAGUGAGAAUGGAAUAGCACAAGGGUUUAUGGAAAAGGUGCACAAAAAGCAUGAAAUUUGAAGCUAUUUAAGGAAGAUUGUGGAGCUUUCUUAUCAAGCUUUCAUGGAGUUUGGGAAGCAACGUGAAAGAGAAGAAGAAGAAGAAGAAAAGUUGCUGGAGAAUGUAGAAGCUACUGGAAGAAAGGGCUAUUUAUAGCCCAAGCUUAUCCACUCCACUUAAAUUACCAAAAUGCCCUUCCAUAAAUUAGCUUAUUCUCCUCCAAUCUUUUAUGCAAUCUUUUUACUCUUUUGACACUGAGACAAGGUCCAUAAUGGUCUAGAAAUGUUUGGGUUCAUUAAAACUUAAAAUUGUAACUCGAGGUGAAAAAUAACCAUUUUGCCCCUACCGUGAAAAUCAUCAAAAUUUUUGUUUCCUUGUCAUUUUACUCAUAAUUUCAUCAUUCAUUUAUGCCUUAGGCCUACUUAGGCCAUAAUAUUGUUUAAAAUCUUACUUUUAUGGGCUUACUAAGGAAAUGAUGAAAUUACCCCUGAUCAGGGAUAUCGUGUGUACUUCUAUCUAUGAGUCUAUAAGGAUCAAGGUCUCACAAUAAAAAGCUACUUUGCUUUAAGACUAUUACAUUUACAUGCUAAUUGUAAAAUGAAACUAAGAUUGAAAACAAAAGAGUGCAAGCUGGAAAUGAGGAAACUACUGGGGGAAAGAAUUCAUAAGAUAACUAUGCAGUAACUUUUUUAGUGAUGAAGAUCAAAAGUUCUCAAUGGGAUGAUGAGCUUUUUUUGAAAAGAAUAAAUGAAAACAUUUCUUGAGGGAAAAUAAAUGAAAACAUUUCUUGAGGGAAAACAAAAGAGAAAAAUGUUUUACAAGAGUAGUUUUAAGUAUGGUUCCUUUGAAAUUUAUGCUUGAAAUGAUACAUGUAUGAAUUUUAAUUUUCUUUUCAAAUAUAUUAUAGAAGGAUGAGGAAAAGAUUAUGUGAAGAACCUCAAAUCAAUAUGACGAAAAAUGAUAUAAAAUUUUUUAUGGGCCAAGAAAAAUGUCAAAUGCACAAGGUCAUUAUCAAAGAAUGCACAAAAACAGGAAGAUUGGUUUUCAAAAAGGGAAUACAUUGAGAAAAACAAGGGAAGAUCAAUGAGUAUCAUUUUCUUCCUCCAUAGAAUAUGAAUACAUGUUCAUUCAUUAACAGGAACAUGCAACACCCAAAAUGAAGAUUUUCAUGAAAUAGUCAAAAUUAACUCUUUUUUGUUUUCAAGCUUUAGAAGUCAAAGCUCAUCUAAUUAAGCUUUUAGAGUUGCGAAAACCUUGAUUAAGUUGGAGGAGAAUCCAUGUCCUUCAAAAUGAAACCAAUGAAGUUUUUCAAUCUUAAUUAAAUUGAUACCCAAUGAAACAAAUUUCAAAGCCCAAUUUAUUUGGCACCAACAUUUUUAAGCCCAAUUAAGUUUUCCUAAGAUGAUUUAAGCCCAAUCUAGCCAGCAUCAAGAAUUUUUAAACCUAGUUAGGUCGGCCUUGAGAGGACUUUCAAGCCUAAUCUAUUUGGCACCAAGAUUUUUAAUUCUCGUUAAGUUGGCCACAAAGUGUCGAAUCUAAUUAAGUCCAAUUAGGUUUAACAGAAUCAUUGUUUGCCAACUUAAUUGGACUUAACACUUUGAGCCAACUUAACUUGUCACGACCCAAAUUCUGGGCCAUGACUGGCACAAGGGUCCAAUGGACGUAAUCCACUAAACCUAAGCAAGCCUAUUAUUUAUCUUACUUAUAAUUCCAUCUAAUAUCACCAAGUCAUAUUUCAUAAUUUUGAAUCAAAAUAGUGAUAUACAUUGCCAACUCUACUGGCAUUACUCCUUAAAAAUUUACAUACAAUGUCUACAACAUGUAUUCUAAUAAUUUACAUUAAGUUUGUCUAUACAAAACAAAAUAACACUCGACUUCCAACGGAGUGACUCGAAUGAAUAUACAGCUACCGAAUGCCGAGACACCUACCAAAAGAUGGACACAAGUCUACAAGGACACCUCGUCCUAGUUACCGGCUGCCUCAUGAUUUGAAAACAUGAAUUUGAAAAUGGUGAGUAUAAACCAAGUGAGUGAACAAGGAAGGGAACAAGCAACAACAACAAGGGAGAAUUUAAAAUGAUGAUGCACUUGUUUCAAAACAAUGCAAUUUAGUUCCAUUUAUAUUAAAAACCCCUCAUUUUAAACUUAACUCAUUUAGUCCUAAAUGUUGGAAGUCCAUGCUCAGAUAUGGUAGCAAGAAGUGAAAAAUAGGGCAGCAAUUGGACAAGAUAGGAGACAAAACAGAAAGUUUUUCGCUACAGCGAGAAUGAAUUUCGCUGCAGCAAAAUUGUUACCCAGAAACAGAAAGUUUUUCGCUGUAGCGAGAAUGAAUUCCGCUGCAGCGAGUUUUCGGCCAGUCUACCCCUCCAAACUCGAGAGUUUCUCGUUGCAGCGAGAUUCGUUUUCACUGCAACGAGAUGCUAUAGUGACUAUCUUGCUGCAACGAGAUUCAUUUUCGCUGCAGCGAGAACCAAUUCUAGUGAAAGGUCCUCAAACUUGAGAGUUUCUUGCUGCAGCGAGCAUGAAUUUCACUACAGCGAAAACAAAGCAACAAGAGAAACAUUUUCCCUCACUCAACAAAAAGCCAUCCUGCUAAACUAACAAAAUCAACAUAAAACUCAUGAAAAUUCUCAAAGUACAAUGUGUCAAAUUUCACAUAUAUGUUAACCAUAUAUCACAUUCAUGAGCUUUCAUUUCAUAAAUCUAGAUAUGCAUAAUUACAUAGACAAACAUCAAUAUCAUCAUAAUCACUCCCGGCUCAUGUAUAUCCCUCCACAUCGUGCACAUAGCAGGCACCAUCACGUGCAUCCCCCCACAUCGUGCAUAAUCAGUGCUAUCAGGUACAUCCCCCCACAUCGUGCACACGGGCACUAUCAUCAUCUAUCUCUGAUGCCACCAUCAUCACUGGUAUGUGCAUUCUCCACAUCGUGCACACACAAGGUUUUAGUCAUUAUAUACUAUAUCAUUCAUCAUACACAACACACACACAUAUAUAUAUAUAUAUCAUCAUAAUACAAUAGUGCAUGAAUCCAUAGCAAUCACAUAUUACAACAUAAAACCAUUUUUCAAAAGCUUGUUCCCAAGGCACUUGUUUUCAUGAAAAACUUGAUAAUUCAUUCAAAUGGGUGGCAAUUACAUUAUAUUUCCCAAAACAAGUUUUGAAGGCAGUCCACUCACAAGUGUCGAAAAUUUGAAUUUCGGGUGCACUCGGAAUAAUAGUCCUCAGGCGUAAUUCCUUUGCCUUUUUCGGACGUCUCACUACCUUGAGAAAUAACAAAGUCGAGGAAUUUACUAUAUUGUCUUUAAAUUGAUAUAAACUAAUUUGAAUUACUAAUGCUUGAUAUGUAAAUGCAAAAAUACGUCUGAUUACCGCUUAAUCGCGGUAUUGAUUAAAUUCGACCGAUCACCCGAUUAAUUGACGAUUGUGUCCAAAUCAUCUCCAAAUUAAUCCAUUUCUCAUCUAAUACCUUAAUUUAUCACAUACCAUUUAAAUAAAGCCAAAUUCAGCAUUAGAACCCUCACAGUUCCUUAUAGCAAAAUUCGAUCAUUUGUUGCACUAACACCGAAAUUUUUUCUACAUAACCAUUUCACAUUAAUUCAUCAUUUUCCUAGCCAUUUUCCUUGAAAUAAAAACAAUCCCCCAUUGAUAUUCAGCCCUCAUGGUUCGACCAACAAGGAACCUUAGAGAAAUUGAAUAUUUCUUUUGUGUUUUUGUUCAUAACCAUGCUUAAUUAUCCCUAAACACUAACAUAGUCUAAAAUCAAAUUAUUCCAACAAUAAUUCCUCUUCCAUACCCAUUUUUCAGAAUUGAAUUCAUCAUGAUAACUCAAUAUUCAACCAUGGAAGUCAAGAACAAAAGCAUGGGUAAGCUAGGUAUCAAGGAGAAUUAAAGAAAUUCUAGCUUACCUAGCUUGUUUCCUUGAUUUCUUCACUUUUCUUUGAAUUUUCACCUAGGUUUUCUUCUUUUUCCCUUUGUUCUUCCUUUGUUCUUGUUUCUGGUUGCCUAGGCUGAAUAUCGUGAGAGAAUUGGGGAUUUAAUGGGCUGAUUUCUACAGAAAAUAAUAAAAUAAUCAAGCAUGCCAUGUGUCACAUGCUUAUUGGCCCAAUUUUUUUAACUUUUUGACUUUUUUCUUCUUCAUUUUCCACCACAAAUAUUCUGGCAUUUAUCCAAUCCUACCACAAUUAAAAUCCCUUGGUCUUGACAAGUACUGGGGCGAAAAAUUUAUCGAUUUGCCCUCGGGGUGGAAAAAUUACGAUUUUACCCCUAUGCUCCGAAAUGUACCGAAAUCACAUUAUUUCUACUUUUCAACCUCAAAUAAUACUAAUAUUGAUCAAUAUUAACCAAAUGGGGCAAAAAUCAUUUUAUAAAAAUUCCUGUUUAGUCCUCUAGUGGUAAAUUUAUCAUUUUGCCCUUGUGCUCCAAAAAUACUCGAAAUCACAAUUUUUCACUGCUAAACAUCAUUUUAUACUCCAAUAAUCAUAAUUAUAUUUCAUAUAAAUAUUCUUGGUCAAAUGUGAUCAAAUAUUGGCUAAAAAUCUUCAUUUUAUCAUCAAAUGAUAAAAUGACCAUUUUGUCCCUAAUUGGUCAAUUUUCCUGAUGGACUCCAAACUGAACCUUGAACUCCAAAUCACUAUUCUAAGCCAUUCUGUGGGUUUUAGAAUUUUCAAAUUCCUCUUAGAAUUUCUAUUUGAACUAGUUCAAGGCUCGAUUUAACUUAGUUGUACCACUCAGUACAAUACCGUCUUUUAAUUGAGCUUGACAGGGUCUCACAUAACUGGUGUUAGAAUGUUAACUUAAAGGGAGAAACCUCAAGAGGGGGGGUGAAUUUAGUAUUUUGAAAAUUCUUUUGAAACCCCCUUUGAAGGUUAAAACUCUUUUGCAAUAUAAGGAUGAAAAGCUCUUAAAUUCAAGCAAUGAAGAGUUGCAAAAAUCCUUUUAGGAGUGAUUUAAAAAUGAUUUUGAGAAGUGAAUGCAAAUGAAGAGGAAUUUUAACAAACACGUAAGAGACAAAAUUUAUUAGGGUUCGACCUCGAUGCCUACAUCCUAUCAUUUGACUCACCAAGGAGUUUGUAAUCCAAUAUGAAAAAUACUUUUCAAGGCUCAAGCAUAACCUUUACAACAAUGCCUUUACAAAGAGCAAGCAUAACCUCUACGAUGCCUUUUCAAGGAGCAAGCACAAUCUCUCUACCUUUUGUCCAGGCUAAGGUAUAACUUAUCAACACUACAUUUUCAAAUGGGUUAAGGUAUAACCACUCUAAGCACUUUAUCUUUCAAGGGUAAGGUAUGACCUUUACAAGGAUUACAAGGAUGUGAAGAUUAAGCUCAAGAAUGCUGCUAAGUAUGCUAAAUAAAUUGAUGAAUACAAAGAGAGGUUGAAGGCUAUCAAAAAUGUAUAGAACUUUCAAGCUCAAGUUAACUAAUAUGAUGAGCACUUGAUUUAAAGAGUGAGGUAGAAAUGAUUUUCUCUUUGAAGCUUCACUCUUACAUAGGAUUUCUUCUCUAGGUGUUCUCUCUUUUGAAAAAUGAGUUCCAACUGUCUAUUUAUAUAUGAGAACCUUAUUCUAUCCUUUUAAACUCAUUGAUUCAAAAUUUGGUCAUUAAAUCUAUCUCAUUGUGGCUUGUCUAAUUUUACGUCUUGAUACAUGCGAUCUGAGUCUCAAUACGUUAACUACAAAUCUCAACUGAUGUCUUGAUGCUUUAGAUGAAUGUCUCAAUACUUGUUCUUCAUUGGUAAUUCUCAAACUAGUCUAUGCCUCGAUAAUUCUACGACUUAGUCUUAAUACAUAGAAGCUUGCUCUUUGGAAACCAUGUUAGGAGAUGAUGUCUUGAUACUCGGCAAAUUGGUCUCAACACUUGUACACUUUACCUUUGGAAUCUUAGGCUCUAAAGAUAAGGUCUCGAUACUUGUUCAGUGUGUCUUGAUAUUUAAACACUUCCUCUCUGGAAGUUGAUGACUAAAGGUGAACCCUCGAUACUUGGAAGUUCAAGUCUCGAUACUACAACUUCUUUUCUAAAAACUAAAGGUUGAAAGUAAAGUCUCAAUAGAUGAUUCUUGUGUGUAGAUACACUGGGACUUGCUUUUUGGAAUUCUAAUAUUUUGAGAAGUUGUCUCGAUGUGUGAUGUCCAAGUCUCGAUACUUUAGUACUUGUCUUUUACAAUUUGGUCUCCUAAUGAAUGGAGUCUUGAUACCCACUAGAGAUGUCUUGAUACACUUUCUUCAUUUGGCUAUUUCUUGAGGCAUUCAAAGCUUAUAGUCUUGAUACUCUUAUAUGACGUCUCGAUUGUUCGGGUUAGUUUAAGCCUUUUUGAACAAAUUUGAGCUUUAAUUGCACAGCCUAUUUUUCAAACAAAUGCUUAGGGGAUUUGUAAUGCCCUAAUGCACUUAUAAACUCAUAUUUUGAUCAUUAGCUUUUGUCAUGUUAAAACAAGGAUCAAUUAUAAAGCUAUCAAUUGGAAUUAAAAAUCUAGUGCUAACUAGAUUAGGCUUGAAAGUCCUUUCAAUGCCAACCUAAUUGGGUUUACAAGAUCUUGAUGCUAGCUAGAUUAGGCUUAGAUCAUUUGAUCAAGCCAACUUAAUUGGGCUUAAAAAUCUUGUUGCCAACUAGAUGCUUUGAAAUUUCUUUCUUGGGUAUCUACUUAAUUAGAUUGAAAAACUUUAUUGCUUUGUUUUUGAAGGAUAGAGAUUCUUUUUCAACUUAUUGCAACUUUAGAAACUUAAUUGGGUGAGCUUGUACUUCUAAAGCUUGAAAAAGAUAGAGUUAAUUUUGACUAUUGCAUGAAAAUCUUUAUUUUAAAUGUUGCAUGGUGUGAAACCCCACACCUUUAAUGAAGGAUAGAAAAGUAAAUCUUAUGUGGUGCGCAUUUAAAAUGUGUUUUUAGUCUAAAGAUCUUGAAAAUUUCUUUAGAUUAGCCCAAAUUUUCAAGUUAUAAGUGUAUAUGUUUAAUAGGAAAGAGAUUUAGGCCAAAUGGUUAUGAUCAUAAAUGGAAUUUUAUAUUUUGGAAUGAAAGAACAAGUGUCAAUACUUGUGGAACAAGUAUCGAUACUUGAAACCUAGAAACACAAGUAUUGAUACCGCACCCAGAAGUAUCAACACUUAUAGUCGUUUGUUUGUUGGAUAAGCCAUGCAAGUGCACGUAUUGUAAACAAGUAAUAUAAUAAAAGCGAAGUUCAUUCCCAUGAAGAAUUGUUCUUAAUCUACGACUAUUCUUGCUAAGUACUAAAAUUGAUGCAACCUAAUCUUAUUCAAACAAUUAAAAUUAAACAUAUGAAAAUUAAAAAAAACUAAAAUUAAACUAAAACUAAAAAAAAGAACUAGAGCAAAAAUAACUAGAAUCAAUUAACCAAAAGUCUAGAACCAUAAUAUACCCUCAAUGUUUCAUCUGAAUCUAUUUUAUUUCUUCUUUACUUAUUAGACAGGCUUGAGUUGUUAACCUAGAGUUCUAAUUUAUUUAUAAGCCUUCAUCAAGUUUCUUGUAAAAAUAUCUAUCUUAACCAAUUUACUAUACGUGUGUGCAAACUGAAAUUAAGAAAGAUUCAUUAAGAAUAAGCUCUAAUUUUGGCUACAUAUGAUAUGUAAGUGUAUGUCUAACCUACACGCGAAUCAAAUCAAUCAUCUCAUACAAUUGAUAUUGAACAUAUGCUAUUUCAUCCAAAGCUUACUUUAAACUUUCUUUCUCAAUUUCGUUUAGGUUUCCAAAUCAAUCUAAUUAGUGAUGAGGCAAUUAGAUGGAUUAAGAAUAAGAUUGAAAUAAACAACUCAAACACUAUCAAUCAUAGGCAAGAAAGAAUAUUAAAAACUCAGACUAUGAAUUGCGUUUAAUCAUGAUUUUAGAUUAAAAACUUAGUUCCCCAUAAUGUAUGUAAACAUCAUUAAAAAAAGAAAUUUAAUAAUCCAAACUAAACAAGAAAAAUAUAAAGAUAACAAGAAAUCAACUUUCUAAUCCACAAUCUUCCUUACUUUCUUGCUAGCUUCAAUGCCUUUUUUCUUCAAAAAACCUUUCUUAAUUCCUCCCUAAGCGUGCUUUGACAGGUUGCUUAAAUAGGCUCAUGAUUGUGUCAAUAUAGAAGUCCAAGUGCGCAAGAAGUCUUUUCCCCCGUUUAAACCUCUUUCUAUUAUUAUUUUUAUAUUUUCAGCUUUUUCUCUUCGGUCCAUGGCACUGGUUGAUGGUGGCCAUGGCAUCGAGCAUCUUGGAGCCCCUUAAAGCAUUGUUUGACAUUGGGGUGCCACAGUGCUGGUCCCAUGGUGGCCGUGGUGCUGAGGCCUCUAACUUGAUUUUAAGGCUAUUUUGCAAUGUUUCAAUUUUGACAUGAUUUUUUACCCCUGUACAGGAUGAACUAGGAAACAUGGUAAACAUGAAAGUUGUAGCUCUACUCUUAUCUUUCUAAUGGUCCAAGAAUCACUUCAAUUAUGCUUAUGUAGUGAAAGAUAUGCUAAAUCACCCGAAAUAUAUGCAGUUGAAGUCUACAACUAAAAUGCAUCUCCUUCACAAAAUAAGCUGUCACACCCCAAAUCCCAGGCCAUGAUCGUCGUAUGGGCCCAAUAAGCAUAACCCACUAGCCCAAGCAAGCCUCUCUAUGUAAACCUGUUCAUUAGUCCAUCUAUCACCCAUAUUUCUUUAAGAUCUAUAAUUCAUAAUUUUCAUUAAUAAUUUCCUUGGGAAUAAACCAUGGCAACCAAGCAUAUACCAUUCUCAAAAUAGGAUUAUUACUUCCCAACCCUAGACGGCAUUAUUAAUCAAACCAAACAUACAAGGGUUAUAACAAAUCUCACAGUUUACAUUUAAACACUCAUAUAUAUAUAUAUAUACAUACAAUAGACCCUUGACUAUCAGUGGAGUAACUCAGGGCAUGGGUACUAUCAUUGAGUGUCAUGGUAAACCUACCGAAAGAUGAAUAUGAGGAAGCACCCCGACCUAGGAUCCAACUACCUCCAAACCUAAAAACUAAAACAUGAAGUUGAAAAGAAUGAGUAUAAACCCAGUGAGUGAACAUAGGAAGGGAACAAGCAAACGAUACAGAAGGGUUUUUGGAAACAUGAUGCACUUAUGUUAAAACAAUGCAAUUUGUAUAUCAUAAGCAAACUCGAUGCAAUGUUGUCUUUUAACUCAUUUUAAAACAUUUAAGAAUUUCAACUUUCAACAUUCAAUGCAAUCACAUUUCAUUUUCCAAACAUCUCUACCCUACUGGAUAGAUGCGCAUGUGCACUCCCACACCACACACCACCAUCACCGUCAUGUGCACUCCCACAUUGCAAGUUAAUCAGAGUGAGACUGAACAAACUUAACCUUAAGUUGUUCAUCCAAAAGAGAAAUGGCCAUCAAAUAAUUAUAAAAGAUCGAUCUUUUCUGUAUAAUAAUAGAUAUUUCUUUCAUCAGUUUUAUAAUUUCCUAGAUUCGCCAAGUGUACUAACAAAAUACUAUUUUUCUUUAAUCAUUGAAGCAUGCUUGCAAUUGUAGGCUCAUGAACAAGACUUGACCAGAGCAUUUCUUAACAUCAAUACAAUUAUUGAAUUUCAAACUUCACACCUUAGAAUGGUAUAACCACAAAUUGGCCUUAAAAAUCAGGAAGUAACUUAAUCAUGCAAGUGCAUAAACUCUGUCGUGACUAAGACUUAACUUCAAUAGGGUCCCAACCAUACACAUAUGAUACAUAUAUAUAUAUAUACACACAUUUAACAAUAUCAUCAUAAGUAUUUAUUAUUGUUUACCACUUAGAUGAGCUCAUGAUAAUGCAAGUAUCAACUUUUAAGCUCUAUACACUCAUAACAUCAAACCUUAGUUGGCUAUGAUUACGUACUCAUUAUAUCACUGAUUUAGAAUUGAGUUUACUUGAAUCACGCUCCUAACGCACACCUCGAUAUCUUAUCCAAUGUGACUUUAAAGUAUUGAAAUGUUCUUUAUCCUCAAACAUGCACAUUUGGAGUAGUUCAAGAUAAUUGCACAAGGCAUGUAAAAUUGUGCAUUUUACCAGUCAUUUAGAAGUAAUCCAGAGGUAUUACACUUCAUUAGGAACCUAGCUUGGAGCAUCACACACAAAACAAAAAAAUUUUGAUGGAAAGGCACUUUAAAACUUACCUUUUUUAUAAAGUGUACUAUAGGAAUCGACUUUCAAGGGGAAAAGGUCGAUCCUUCCAUACAGAACAGAUUCUUGUGGAAGGCAACCUUCUAGAGAUCAACCCUUGAGAAUAUAGAGGUCGAUCCACAAGCUUUAGAAUGCUUUGGACUUGGAGAAUUUAAACACUUUGAUACUCAACCCUUUUAUAACACAUCCAAGCUUAGACCAUCAACCCUUUGACCCAAUUCUUAUGUAAUAAAUCUUUUCAUUACCAAGAUCUCACUAAUCCACCAUUGACAAGAAGAUCAACUUCCUUAAUUAGCUCAUGACACCAUAUGCCCAUGUCAUAGGUUGAGUUCGUAAGUUUCGCAUCCUUCAAUUUCACAAUUAGUUCUCCACUAUCAAAGUUUUCAAGAUGUAACCAUGAUUACUUCCACAUUCAUAGAUCAGAUAUCAUGCAAGGUUUUACUCCUUAGAAAGGGUUACAACCAUCUAACUCUCAAAAUUUUUUUGAAUUUACUAUAUCUUAUCAAUUCCAAUUAUUUGAACCCUUCUAUUGAGAACAAACUUAUGGCCAUCAAUUAAUAGCACCAUCUAUUAUCGUAAAUUUCUCAAAAUCCUCUAGAAUUUACUCCAUACUUGAGGUCUUUGAAUAUAUCAUACCACCAUUCAAUCGUUAGGUCUCACCACCAAGAAAAUCAUUCCUUGUACUUUUACAUAACAAGGUCAUUCCUCGUAAGAACAUAAUUAUGUACUUUAGUCUACUUAUUCUGAAUCAACCUUCUCAAUGAAAAUACUUGGUUGUCUAUAUUCUUUAAAAGAGUUCUAUUGAGGACUUAAACAAUCAAAGGCUUAUCUUCAAAGCCACUCAUAAUUUUAACAAUUCAAUGCAUGCUUAAUAGCAUAUCAGCUCAUUGGUCCCAAUGGACAUUAUUUGCAAAUCUCCCAAGGUGUCCUUGUCCUUAAUCCGGACCAUACAAAAGUAACUUAGUAUAUUUGCAUUAAUUAUCCUUAGCUUUUUAUGCUCGUCAUAACAACAUCCAUAUUUUCCCCAUCAUUCAUGUUAUUGACCUUAUUAGUGUACAUUUGGCUUUUCGGCCUUUCACAAUACACUCCACAUAUAUGCCAAGGCAUUCUCAAUCUCAUACCAAGCCUACAGUCAUGUAACCACCAAUUAGGCUAAAUCCCUAUAUGGGAUAUCUCCUUCCAUAUGAUGCAUGUGAAUCACAAAAUGUACAACUACAAGAACAUGCCUACAUAUUGAUAAACUUCAUAUAUUUCAUGAUCAUGAAAACCACAAUUUGCAAAACUUGCUUUCUAUCUCAAGUACACAAUCAGAGCAUUAAUUUUGACAUAUCUAUUCCACAUUUUGUGGUAUGCCAAAAUCAUCCUUUGGCCAUAUUUCGUUACUAGCAAUUAUACACCUUUAUCAUAACAUUUAGUGCAAACUUGGUUAAGCAAUGGUCUUCAAAUAAUUCUUAAGUACAUAAAUAUCAAAGUGUACAUCACUUAAUGUUGAGAUCUUAACGUUACUCAUCAAUCCUUAACAAUUUAUAUUUGUAAGGUGGACAAUUCACUUACUUAUUGCAUCUCACCUUUGCGGUCAUAAAAUCAAAAUUUCCUAAACUUAAGAUGCAGAAGCUUUCUUUUAGAGUUUAUCCAAAAAUCAACAUUUUUUAACUACCUUGCCUUUAGAGAAAUCACAUUUAGGACUAAUCAUUUAUAUCAUAGGUUGCAGACCGAAUCAACUUUUUUUUUAUCUUUAAAGCAAUUUGUAUACCAAGCUCAAAUAUAGAACUCCCAUAUGGGUUUAGACUAGAAUUAACAUUUCUAAGUCAUCUGACUUUAAGCUACCAAAUCCAUAACUAGCCUUUUAAUUCAUUAGCUUCAUGCUAAUCAUAGCAAAAUUUAAGCUUAUCCUUUGAGCAAAUUUGUUUACUAACCUUUUACUUCAUGACCACACAUCAAUUAAUAAUGUUCACCUUAGGCUGAUUCAUGAAUUUAUAGCUAUAAACCAUAAUGGGUCAAAUCGAAUCUUGGGAAUUCACAGCCAUUUAAUUGAAAUCAAAACUAGCUCCAUCUAAGCUACUAUACACAUAUUCAACACAUAUUUGCGUAUAAAAUAUUUCAAAAGCCCAACACCAUUUAUAUAUGUGCAUGGCAAGUUCAAUAAUCUAUUACCAUGCAGAAAUAAUAACUAGCCAACUUGUACAAAGCUGAACAACAAGGUCCAUUGACCAUAGUCUCACAUACAAAAAAUGGCCAAGCACAGUUAACACAGUGCACUUACCUUCAUGCACUUGAGUAUUGGUUUACACCUCCCUUAAUACUGAGAUUUAUAAGCCUCAAGUGAAUCACAACAAUCACUAUUCAUUCUAGUAAAAGGGUGCUCCUUUUUGCCAAUAUCGUAUGUGCUUUUUUAUAUUGACCUUGAUAACGGUCCAAUGUAAUUUCAUUUCUACCCAUUUAUGGUCAUGGGUCAAAGUUAUAGCUUCACCAAAUUAAUAAGCUAUUACGGAUCUAUUAGUCCUUCUUCACUUUCCUCCAUCCUUAGUUGAAGGAGUAUAUCAUUACGUUAACCUUUCAUUAGGACCAUUUCCCUUUAAGAUUUUUCCCACAACGACUAGUGUCUCAAGUGGCAUCUCAAACUCGGACAACGACACUACUUAUUACUUUUACGUGACACAAGUAAAAAGGUAGAUGACUAGGAAUAAGAGUCUAUUUAGCCCCCUGUUUAUGGCUUCUGCUACAGUCACAAACCAUAAACAAGACUCUACAUUGACUUCGACAACUCCGCUGAUUGACACAAGAAUUCUUAGGACUUGAUAAAACCUAGGCUCUGUUACCAACUUUUUCACGGCCCAAAUCCCAGGCCAUGACCGGCGCAUGGGCCUAAUAGGCACAGCCCACUAGGCCCAAGCAAGCCUCUCUAUGUAAACCCGUACCUUAGUCCAUCUAUCACUCAUAUUUCUUUAAGAUCUAUAAUUCAUAAUUUUCACUAAUAAUUUCUUCGGGAAUAAACCAUGGCAACCAUGCAUAUACCAUUCUCAAAAUAGGAUUAUUACUUGCCAACCCUAGAUGGCAUUAUUAAUCAAACCAAACAUACAAGGGUUACAAUAAAUCUCACAAUUUACAUUUAAGCGUUCAUAUAUAUAUAUAUAUACAUACAACAGAUCCUUAACUAUCAGCAGAGUGACUCAGGGCGUGGGUACUAUCAUUGAGUGUCAUGGUAAACCUACUGAAAGGUGAAUAUGAGGAAGCACCUCGACCUAGGAUCCAACUAGCUCCGAACCUGAAAAAUAAAACAUGAAUUUGAAAAUAAUGAGUAUAAACCCAGUGAGUGAACAUAGGAAGGGAACAAGCAAACUAUAUGGAAAGGUUUUUGGAAGCACGUUGCAGUUGUGUUAAAACAAUGCAAUUUGUAUAUCAUAAGCAAACUUGAUGCCAUGUUUUCUUUUAACUCAUUUUAAAACAUUUAGGAAUUUCAACUUUCAACAUUCAGUGUAAUCACAUUUCAUUUUCCAAACAUCUCUACCCUACUGGAUAGGUGCACAUGCGUAUAAGAAUUCAUGUAUAUAUAUAUAUAUAUAUAUAUAUAUAUAUAUAUAUAUANUAUACUAUAUAUAUAUAUAUAUAUAUAUAUAUAUAUAUAUAUAUAUGUAUGUAUGGAUAUUUUCAAACAUAAAUCAAAUACAUCAAGGUCAUUCCCAAACUAGUCAACAUGGCUUAACGCAUACAACCACCAUCCUCAACUCAAUUCAUGUGCACUUUCACACCGGACAUAGCUAAUAACCUCAUGUGCGCUCCCACACUGUACAUGGCAAAUAUCAUGUGCACUCCCACACCGCACAUGGCAUAUAUCAUCAGUGUGUGCACUCCCACAUCGUACACCACCAUCACCGUCAUGUCUAGUCCCACACCGCACACGCACGGUUAUAGUUAUUAUUCAAUAUUACCUUUCAAGGCAUGGCACACAUAACAACAUGUAACAAGAAUCUUUGCAUAAUAAUACAUUCCAUAUAAUUCAUUAUUUUAUUAGUCAUAGACAUGGUUGCAUAGUCCAACAUUCAAGGAAAAUAAUAUUAAUCGUAUUGCCACUAGUUUAGAACAUCUCAAGAUUUUCAAUGCAUCACAGACCACAAUUCAAUUGGCAAUUCAACAUAAUAUUUCAAACACAUAAUUCAUCAGAUUCUACAUUUAACAACAUAGAAAUAUCACUUGUGAAAGGCUUGUUCCCAUGCAAAAUUUUUAAAAGAGUCAACCAAAGAUAUUCAAGUACUUCAUUCAACACAUAUGCAUUUGUUCAAAACAUUUUAAAUGCAAGUCCACUCACUUGUCUUUGUUGAUUCUUUUGAUCGACUCCAACUUCAACUAAUGAUCAAAGUGGAGAUGUGGGGUCUCGUUGGAACCUUGGUGAACUUGUAGUUGAUUUUCCUUAGUGAGGAUUAAAAGGGGAAAAUUUUCUUUAAAAGUUUUCAAGCUAUUUUGAAGCGUUUCUCUCUCUAAAAAUGUUCAUCUAGUGAGAGAAAGUGCAAAGGAAAAACUCUUUAAGGGUUUUUGAGGUGAAAAAGUCAAAGAUCACGAAAAAACCUAUGAAAAAGUGUACAAAAACAUGAAAUUUGGACUUAAUAUGAGAAAGCUAUGGAGGUUUCAAGGAUCUCCUCCAUGGAAGAUGAAAAAUCUGCAAUGGAGAGAAGAAAUGAGAGGAAGAAUGGAGAAGGUGCUGGAAAGUAAGGAUAUUUAUACCUAGGGUUGACAAAAGUUCACAUAUUUACGAAAAUGCCAUUAAGAAGUUGACUUUGUCUUCUUUUUCUUUUUUUAGCAAUCUCUUUACUCUUUUGACAUUGAAAAAGGUCCACAAUAGAUUAGAGGUACUUGAGUUUAUGAAAACUUAAAAAUUUAGACUCGAGAUCAAAAAUUACUAUUUUACCCCUAAGGUGGAAAUCUUUUUUUCUUUGUAUAAGAAUAAUUUAUUGAAUCCCAUAUAUAAAAUAUUUGAUAAGACUCACCAAGAAGAAAAUGAAACUACCCUUGGUUCAUGUCACCACUAUUACACUACUUUACGCGUAUAUUAAAAUUUGGGGUAUCACAUUAGCCUUCUUUUCAAAGCACACCUACCAAAACAUAAAAAUUAAAUAAUAACUCAACUUAGCACACGAGCAGUUUUCUUAUUGGUUGGUGCAUGAUCUCCUUCCUUAAAAAGUAGGGUUCGAAUCCCCUUUUCCCUAAUUCCAAAAAAUAAAAAACUAGACUUAAAGCAAAAUAACAUAAAAUAGCCUAAUGCAAUUGAACCCAUAAUAAUUAACUAAAAUAAAAUACAUAAUUAAAAACAACUAAAAAAUUCAACUAAAUCUCGAGAACUUAAACAAAAUAUAUUAAAAAUUAAGACCAAAUAACUCUAUAAAAUAAAGUUAUCACACUUCCAAACUUAAUAUUUUGUUAGUCCUUGAGCAAAACACAAAAGAAAACUAAAUAAAAGAGAGAAAUUUAAAUGAUGAAAGAACCUAAAUAAACAACCUAACUGGAGAUAAAUAACACCAAAUCAAUGAUCUCCAGAAUUUCCUCAAAAGUAUAUCUAUAAGUCUCCAACUUAAGGCAAAAUAUAGGCAUCUUUUAGUUUCAUGUUUCAAUUCAAUUGCAAGCAUAUUCUCGAAUGGAUUUUGGUGUGUGAGUGAAAUAUCUUACAAAGAAUAUUAUGCUAUCUAGAUAAGUUUAUGCCUAUACAAAAUUCAAAUUAGUACCAAAACUCCAUAAGUUUGCUUUUCAUCUUUCUUACCACUAAUGUAGACUAAUACUAAGUUAAAGAUCAAUGAUCUUUAUUAAGCUUGUAAUAAAUGGCUAGGGUCAAAGAAGGAUAAAGAAUAAUAAUUUGGCUCAAUUCGCCCUAAGCACAAAAUCAUUCUAGGACUGAUAUAGAGCUCAACUUUCAUUUUCUAAGUAACUCUGUAUUUUCACUUUGAACUUUCUUUUGUUCAACACUUUAUUCUCGUUUUCUCUUCUUUCUUUCCCUUUUUUUUAUAUCACAAUUUUACACCCGCAAACUUAUUUCUUUGUAUUGUAAGUAGUGGAGUGAUUUUUAUCACUAAUUUUUAAAUUUUUUAGUUUUUCGACAACUUCACCUUUUUCUACCUUUUUCAACAACUAGCUCAACACACUUCCUAAAAUGAUAUACUUACUUAGGAGUGAGGGAUGCAAAAUUGGAAAUUUAUUUUAAAAGGUUAGGCUAAAAUAAUUAUGUGGUUAAACAAAAAAAAAGGGGAAAUUAGGCUUAAAAUGGUAUACUAAGGAUAAAAUAUAACAAGGUUAGCUUGAAAGACUCAAAUGGUCCAAAAAAGGCCUAAAUCAUCUCCCUAACUAAGUAUUGCCUAGGAUUUAACCUCACGAGAGAAUCACACAAAUUUUAGAAUUCUUGACAUAAUUCACAAUUCUCAUUAAUAAUUUAAACCUUCUGUAAAUAUGCACAGUAAUUUAAAGUGAAAGACAAAGUGCUCCAUAUAUGAAAAUCACAUCCGAACAAUAAUACUUGGCAAAAGAAUUUAGCACAAGCCAAACAAUAUCCACGUUUACCAAGAGCUAAAGAUACAAGAGAACUAUAAUCUCAUCAUUGGAUAAGGAAAUCAUUGAAAAUUUUGGCAUUAAUUACUCUAGACCCUAAAAUUUUUAAACAAUCAUAAUGAAAAUUAAAUAAUAAACCAUCCUAAUUAACUUAAAAAUUAAAUAAGCAUCCAAAUAAAAUAAAAUUCUAAGUUCUUACAGAAUAUCAACCACUAGCAAAAUAUGCUUUCCCCCUAAACUUAAUUCAAACAUUGUCCUUAAUGUUAGAAAAAUAAAGAAAAUAUAAAUAAUACUCCCCUCGAAGGUAGACAAUUCUGAAGAAGCUUUAAUCCUCUUCUUUAUGGUCCUUAUCAGUAUUGCCAAAGUUUUGUGAAAGUGAGGUAGAGCUUUUUUUUUUUUUACAAAAGUAAAGAAAUUAAUGAACAAAUAAAUAAAUAAAAACAAGAGCAUAAGUUUAGAAAGCUAAGGUUACCUCCAAAGAAGUGUUUCUUUAUAGUCACUAGCUUGACUAUGGCACCCUUUUUUACACUUCUUCAUCCAUAAAAUUGCUAGGAACAACAUGAUUAGAGUAUCAACGUAAUGGAAUAACAAAAAAAUUAAAAUAAAAUAAAAACCACACCUCUAACCUUUGGCUUCCAAUGUUGAAAAAUCUCAACCACUAAAACGCUUGGCCUUCUUGUGUGAAAGAAUCCUAACCACUCAAUUGCUUGGCCUCCAAUAUUGCACACACGAUUGCAACAAAUCCUUUUUAAGGAGAGAGCUUUAUGUGACGGGCUUGUACUAGCAAGUGAACAACAAUUUUUCCUCUUUUCUUCUUUGGUUUCCAGCCAAGAAUCAAUGGAGAAGUUAUUUGAAAAACCCUCUCAAGAGUCGCGGCACUCAAGAGAAAAGCUAUUAGUUUUUUUCAAAACUAAUACUUUUGUUACAUUAUAAAAGAGUGGCUAUAAUGUGAUAUUUAUAGCUAGGUUUUAUUUUUAUUUUUAGACUUAUUAAAAUUUACAAAAUAAGUCAAUUAUAAUAUAGCAAUUAUAAUAUUUAACUAAUGCCUAAUUCAACUCUUUUAAUUAGGUCCUUAGUAGUUAAAACCUAGAAUUUCAUUUAAGUUUAACUUAAAUCAUCACACUCUCAAUUUAAUCCAAACUGCAACCUUUGUAUGUGACCCAUUAGGUUCUUAACAUGUUGGCAAUAGAAUUGAAUUAUAAUUUUAUUAAUUAAUUAAUUUAAAUGAAUCAUAUUUAAUUUUAAAUUAACUGAUUCAAUUCCAUAGACCAAGAUUGGCAUCUAGUAAUGCAUCAUGGCCACCCAAUUGUUAGGAGUGUCAAAGGAUUCUUUGACAACCUUUCAGUGUAUAGUUUAUCAGUGUAAUUCAAUCCUUCAUCAUAUAAUCCAGAGAUGAUAAGAGUUUGGUGCAGUGCCUACUCUUAUUUACCUCCAUAUUUGUUCUUGUAGUUAGAUCGUAAGCUUUAUAAAGACUAAUGAAAUUGAUUUCAUGAUCUCCUAAUCACGUUGGCCAAGGAUUUCAUCAAGCUAAUCUCAACCAAGAACUAAUGGUAUAUUUCCCCUUGAAUCACUUAGGGUGAUGAUUCCUAUGUUGACCACUCAUUUGCCUUCAUAUGCUUUAUACUAUACUGGAAAGCAUCCUGUUUUGGCAUCCUUGGUUAAACAUUCGUAAGGAUGAAAUGAUAGCAUAGUACUCCACAUACAAGACAACCUAGUGUCUUAAGUUUAAGGAGUAGUUACAUUACUGACACAUAAGAAGUAUUGUAUAGAUACUUGAGUGAGGUACCAAAUGAACUUUUCAUGGCAGGUCAUUUUUAGUGAACUCGUUCUCCCAUCGCAACCUUCCACAUGCUAGUUCCAAGUAUGUCUAUACUUCAACCUAUGAGAGCAGUUCCUUACUUCGCAUGUAAGGAACGUAAUAUGUGUCGAUCUUUGAGUAUUAUUGAUGCCUCGUCUCAAUAAUAUAAUAAUCAAGAACUUUUACGAAUAAUGCUUAGAUGCACAAAGAUCUCAUACUUGUAUCCCAAUACAAUUCUUUUGCAAGGCAUAUAUGGUUCCAUGGGCUUUAUCUACAUAAGUAUAAAUAGUAAUUAAAUCACAAACUUAUGGAUAAAAAACAUUUUGGCAAUGUUAUUAUGAAUAACAAAUUGUCAUAUGUGAAUAUCUCAAAAUUGCAAUUCCCAUACAACAAUUAAUUGGCUUAUAGGUCUCAUACUAACAAACAUAAGGCUUGAGGCUUUGUUUGUUAACCUUGAAUGCUUUGGGAAGCAUACCAAAAAUUUCAAUAAGAGCAUAAGACAAAACCUUGACCACUUUAAAGGUUUUCCACAAAUAUGGUUGAAGUUGCCAUGGUAAAAGAUGGAGGAAUGAACAAGAGAGUACGACUUGCUGUCCAAGCUCAAAAUCAAGAUCAAUGGAAAGUGGUGGUUUUGACUCAAGAGUUGGUGCUUGCUUGAUUGAAUGUGGUGGAAUAGGCUUACCUUUACCAUUAUCAAUUACAUCCAUUCUAUAGCCACUUUUUGUAAAGGAAGGGUACUUAGCUGAAUUAUAUAUAUUAAAUUAGACUACCUCCUCUCCAACAUUGAAAGUUACCUUGUCAUUCUUCACAUCAAUGAUUGCUCAAGCUGUAGCUAAGUAUGGUUUUCCCAUAAUAAAAGGAAUUUCAAUAUCCUCUUCCAUCUCAAGCACUAUGAAGUCCAUCGAAAUGUACAACUUUUCAAUUUUAACCAAGACAUUUUCCAUGACCCUAACAAUGUACCUGAUUGUUUUGUCUACUAAUUGCAAAGAAACUGUAAUAGGUUCUAUCUCAUUAAGUCCAAGUUUCCUAGCAAUAGUCAAAGGCAUAGGUGAAACACUAGCACCCAAAUCACACAAAGUUUUAGAAAAUUUAAAACUACCAAUAGUACAAUGGAUGGAAAAACUACUUGGAUCCUUAAGCUUGGUGGAAGCUUAUUUUGGAUUAUAGCACUACACUCCUUAGUAAGUGCAAUUGCCUUAAAAUAUUCCAAUUUCCUUUGUUUGGUCAAGAUGUCAUUCAAAAACUUCACAUAACUUGGCAUUUCUUCCAAAGCUUCAACAAAAUAAAAAAUAUUAAUAUGCAACUUUUAAAUACCUCAAGAAAUUUUUAGAAUUGUUUGUCAAGUUUCAACUUUUGAAAACAUUGAAGAGAAGGUGGUGGAGAUGGUUAAGCAGGAUUUAAUUGUGAUUUUUCUGCUUUUAAUUUUUCAACCAUAAUUUCUUUUUCAUCAUAUUUCUCAACUUCUUUUUCGAUGUCUUUUUCAAUUUCUAUUUUAGCAAACUUAACCAAAAUUUCAGAAUUUAAAUAUGUUCCACUUACUUGUUUUUCACUUACCUUUUUUCCACUACAAAUAGUAAUUACCUUACAAUGCUCGUUACCUUCUCUUUUUGGAUUGGUUUAAUGUCGCUUGAUAGAGUGCCUUGAGGUCUACUGUUGACCGCAUUAGCUAAUUGACCCAAUUGUGUCUUAAGAUUUCUAAGAGAUGCUGAUUGGAUUUAGAUUAAUGCAUAUCGACUUUGAAUGACAACAUCAUUCUUUGCCAUGUAUUACAUGAACAUCUCUUCCAUUAUUGGCCUUUCUCUAGCAUAGGAGCUCGAGGUUGUGGUGGGAAUCUUGGAGGAAAAUUUGGCAUAGGGGCUAAUGAAGAUGCUUGAUUAUUCUUUCAAGAAAAAUUAGGAUGAUUCCUCCACCCAGAAUUAUAUGUGUUGGAAUAAGGAUUAUUUUAUGGCUACCUAUUUCCAACAUAAUGAGUUGUUUUUGUGUAAAUAGGACAAUGGUUACUAGAAUGUCCUUUCGCACAUAAAUCACAAGUCACAAAAGGGCUUUAAAUUACAUCAACACUUAAACUAUCAAUUUUGUUUGGUAAAAGAAGCCAAUUGUGCAGUCAAAGCAUUAAUUGUGUCAAGCUCAUGAAUGCUAGCAAUUUUUCUUGUGAAAAUAGGAAAACCUUAAUCUAAUAUGCAUUAGGAUUAUAAUUCAACAUCAUCAAUAAUGUCAUUAUUUUUGAAAGUACUGCAAGUCUCCAAGAAAUUCACAAUAUGCACAUUAGGAUUAUAAUUUAACAAUCCCCCAACUGAAUAGAUGUACAAAUCAUUUGAAUGAUUAUUGGUAUGAUUUCAAAAUCGUUGGCUUGGAUGGCAAGUUUACGGAUGCUAGAAUGAAAGCCUUGAGCAAAAGACACAACAUAUUCUCACAAGGACUUAUUUUUUCUUAAUCAGCCAUUUUAUCAGAUUAAGUAGAAGCUUGUAAAAUUUCCCUCUUGAGGUUUAGAAGAGUCUUUUCAAUUUUUGGAUCAAAAAGAACAACUCUAUUUUCAUACAUCGAUCAAAAGUUCCUGAAAACAAAAAAAUAUUGAAGUAAGAUUAAGUUGCUUAGUAUUAAUUUUAACAAAAAUAGAAAAAUUAAGAAAUAAUUUCCAACAAUGGCACCAAAAACUUGUUUUUCAAAUAAACCAUGCAAGUGCACGCAUCAUAAACAAGUAAUAUAAUGAAAGUAAAGUUCAUUCCCAUGAAGAAUUGUAGUUAAUCUACUACUAUUCUUGCCAAGAACUAAAAUUGACACAACCAAAUCUUAUUCAAACAACCAAAAUUAAAAGAUAUUGAGAAUUAAAGAAAACUAAGAUUAAACUAAAACUAAAAACAAGAACUAAAGCAAAAAUAACUAGAAUUAAUUAACUGAAAGCCUAAAACCACAAUAUCCCUUCAAUGUUUCUUCUGAAUCUCUUUUAUUCCUUCUUUACUUAUUAUAUAGGCUUGAGUUGUUAACUUAGAGUUUUAAUUUAUUCAUAAGCCUUUGUCAAGUUUCUUAUAAAAGUAUUUAUCUCAACCAAUUUACUAUAUGUCUAUGCAAAUUGAAAUUAAAAUAGAUUCAUUAAGAACAUACUCUAAUUUUGGCUACAUAUGACAUGCAAGUGUAAGUCUACCUUAUUUACAAAUGAACUAAAUCAUCUCAUACAAUUGAUAUUGAACGUAUGGUAUUUCAUCCAACGUUUACUCUAAACUCCCUCUCUUUAGGUUUUCAAAUUAAUGUAAUUGGUGAUUAGGCUAUUAGACACAUUAAGAACAAGAUUUAAAUAAACAACUCAAACACUAUCAAUUAUAAGCAAGAAAGAAUAUUACAAACUCAGACUACGCAUUAGAUUUAAUCCUGAUUCUAGAUUAAAAACUUAGUUCCCCAUAAUGUAUGUUAAUAUCAUCAGAAAAUGAAAUUUAACCCUCAAAACUACAAAAGAAAAUAUAAAAAUAACAAGAAAUCAAGUUUUCGAUCCGCAAUCUUCCUUGCUUUCUUGCUAACUUCAAUGCCUUUUUUUCUUCAGAAAAACAUUUUUUGAUUCCUCACAAAACAUUCUAUAAAUGUUUGCUUAAAUAGGCUCAUGAUUAUGUCAAUUUAGGAGUCGAAGUGCACAAGAAGUCUUUCCCCCCAUUUAAACCUCUUUCUAUUAUUAUUUUUAUUUUUUUUCUAUUUUUACUCUUUAGGGUUAAGCAUCCUAGAGGCCCUUGAAGCAUCACAUGACAUUAGAGCACCGUGGCGCUAGUCCCACAGUGGUUGCGGCCUUGAGGCCUCUAGCUUGAUCUUUAAGCUCUAUUGUAGUGUUUCAAUUUCUACAUGAUUUUUAACCUAUUUCUAGGCUAAAGAAGGCAAAAUGGUAAACAUGGAAGUUGUGGCUCUACAUUUUAUCUUUCCAAUGAUUUAAGAACCACGCCAAUUAGGCCUUUGUAAAGAAAGAUAGGCUAAAAAAACCGCAGCAUAUGCUGUUAAAGUCUACACCUAAAAUGCAUCUCCUUCACAAAAUAAGCCUUUUUCUCAAAGCACACCUGCAAAAACAUAAUACUUAACUUAAAUAAUAACUAAACUUGAAGCAAAAUAACAUAAAAUAGCCUAAUGCAAUUGAACCCGUAAUAAUUAACUAAAAUAAAAUAAAUAAUUAAAAACAACAAAAAUUAAUUAAUACUUAAGCUAAAUUUCAAGAACUUAGACAAAAUAUAUUGAAAAUGUCACAGCCCAAAUCCCGGGCUAUGACUGGCGCAUGGACCCAAUAGGCAUAGCCCAUCGAACCCAAGCAAGCCUUUUCGUGAAAACUUAUUCAUUAAACCACUUGUCUCUUAUUUACUUCUAAGCUUUUAAUUCAUAAUUUUCAAGAAUAAUUCCUUCUCACAAGUUAAAUCAUGGCAACCGAGCAUAUAGUAAUCACAAAAUAAUAUUAUUACUUGCCGACGUGUGGUGGCACUAUUAUUCAAACCAAGCACACAGUGUUUACAAUAACUUUCAUGAAUUACACUUAAACAAUCAUCACACAUACAAAAGAUGUUGACUAUUAGUGGAGUGACUCUGGUAGGGUUACAAUCAUUGAGAGUUGUACUGAACCUACCGAAAGAUGAAUAGGAGGGGGCGCCUUGACUUAGCAUCCAACUACCUUUGAUCCUAAAAACUAAAACAUGAAGUUGAAAGAAAAAGAUCAGUACAAACCCAAUGAGUGAACAUAGGAAGGGAACAAGCAUCAAUACAGGAAGUUUUAGAAAACAUGAUGUACUUAUGUUGAAAACAAUGCAAUUUAGUUUAAUGUCACAGCCCAAAUUUUGAGCCAUGACCGGUGCAUGGGUCUAAUGGGCAUAGCCCACCAAGCCCAAGCAAGCCUAUUAUGUAAUCUUGCUUAACAUUCCAUCAACUAUUCUCAAGUAAUCUUUCAAAAGUCCAACUUAUAAUCAUUUUAAUAAUGGGCUAUAGCAAUCAAGAAUUUCAUUAAUAUAAACCCAAAAUGAUAUUAACAUUUCAACUCAUGGUGGCAUUACCAGUUAAAAUAUACAUAUUUUGUCUAAGACACGUAUCUUAGUAUUUUACAUCACAUGAAUGUACUCAUAAAACAAAAUGACUCUUGACUUCCAGCGGAGUGACCACAGUGAAGGUGCGGCUACUGAGAUGCCAUAGUACCUACAAAGAAAGCGAGCAUAUAUGUGCAACUCAAUCUAGGUCCCAACUACCUCCAAAUCUAAAAACAUGAAUUUUAAAAACGUGAGUACGAAACUCAGUGAAUGAACAUAAGAAGGGAACAAGCAAUCAAUAGGAAGAAUUUGGAAAUCAUGAUGCAGUUGUUUCAAAAACAAUGCAAUUGAUUUAAUUUCUUACUAAAAACCCCACAUUUCAAAACUUUAAUUAAUAAUCUCAUAGUGUUGCAACAACCCAUCAUCAAUCCAUGAUGUUAAAUGGGUGAAAAUAUGUCAAAAACUGAAUAGGGUAGCAUGCAAGACAGAAUGUUUCUCGCUGCAGCGAAGUUCAUUCUCGCUGCAGCAAGAAAUAGUACCAGUUUGCAUGUAUUUUAGUUUUUCUAGCAUAUCUUCUGUUACAGAAAUCCAAUGGAUCUGAUUUUUAGACCAUUAGAAAGCGAAGAGGUAGAGCUACAACUUUUAUGUUUACUACUUUUCCCAUUUUGGAAGGGAUGGUCGUCAAAAUCUUUAUCAAAGUGAAAGCACUGCACUAUAACUCGAGAGUUUCUCGUUGUAACGAGAUUUAUUUUCACUGCAGUGAUUUUUCUGCUGCUAAAACAGAAUGUUUCUCACUGCAGCGGGAAAGCAUUAUCGCUGCAGCGAGAAGCAGGGCACUUAAGUGAAAAAAGGGCCUCAUUUGCACUAAAAAUCCAUUUGGUGUUGCAAUGAACUCAAUUUGCAAGAAAAUGGGACAUUCUCAAAAUUCAUCAUGCCAAUUUCAACAUGAAAUGCUCAAAAAUUUCCAAAGUUCAACAUGCCAAAAUUUCACAUGCAUUACAACCGUAUACCAUAUAUGUAUAUAUAUAUAUAUACAUAUAUAUAUCAAUCAUCAUGCACACCCUCCCAUCAUCAUCAGCUCAUAUGCAACAGCUUAUGCGCACUCCUACUCGCCCAUAGCCGGGUCAGCAACGGCUUAUGCGCACUCCCACUCGUACAUAGCCUGGUCAGCAACGGCUUAUGCACACUCCUACUAGCACAUAGCUGGGUCAAUAUCAUUACACAAUAUUAUUUAUAUAUAUAUAUAUAUUUAUCAACAUAAUGUAGUAAUACAAUAAUCCAUAACAGCCAAAUAUCACACAUAGAGACAAUUUAUCAAAGGCUUGUUCCCAAAGCACUUGUUUGAAGAAAAAGUUGUAUAAAAUCAAUCAAAUGCUUUGUACAAAAUAGUCACAUUCCCAAAAUGAUUUUGAAAUGCAGUUCACUCACCAGUAUUGCUAAACCUCUAAUCGACUGUAACCUCCACUAAUGGUUCGAAUGGGCAAGUGAGGCCUUGUUGGAACCUAUACACACACAACAUCACAACCAAUUAGAUUUACAUUUAUAUCACUUCAAAAGCUAGUUUCUAAUUCAAAUUAUUCUAGUCAUUCCUAAUUGGUUUCCAUCUAUAUCAAAUGGCUAUUCCUUGCACUACACUAAUCACACUAAAAAUGAAGAAACAACUCAAUAAUAAAACAGCUCAUAAUCCCAAUUACUAGCCAUUAUAAACAACUUAAAACCAAGCCUAGUUCAUCACUCACCUUAGGGUUUCUUUGUAGUUGAAUUCUCUUCCAAUAGCUUUCAAACAAUUGUGGAAAAUCUCUCUUUCUCUUUCUAAACCUCCAACUAGUGAGAGAAAGUGUUGAACAAGGACUUUUUGAGGGUUUUAAAGUGAGAGAGUGAAAGAGCACAAGGGUUUUAGUCAAAAGGGCACAAAGGUAUGAAAAUUAGAGCUAGAGAAAGAAAGUUGUGAAAGUUUC
rnacentral:lncRNA from 1 species